AUUGAACGCUGGCGGCGUGCCUAACACAUGCAAGUCGAGCGGUAACAGGCGUAGCAAUACGUGCUGACGAGCGGCGAACGGGUGCGUAAUACAUGGGAAUCUGCCCUCUGGUGGGGAAUAACCCGGCGAAAGCCGGGCUAAUGCCGCAUAAGAUCCUCGGAUGAAAGCGGGGGACCGUAAGGCCUCGCGCCGUUGGAUGAGCCCAUGUCGGAUUAGCUAGUUGGUGGGGUAACGGCCCACCAAGGCUACGAUCCGUAGCUGGUCUGAGAGGACGGCCAGCCACACUGGGACUGAGACACGGCCCAGACUCCUACGGGAGGCAGCAGUGGGGAAUAUUGGACAAUGGGCGAAAGCCUGAUCCAGCGACGCCGCGUGUGUGAAGAAGGCCUGCGGGUUGUAAAGCACUUUCGAUGGGAACGAAAUGUGCCGGGCUAAUACCCCGGCAAGCUGACGUUACUCAAUGAAGAAGCACCGGCUAACUCUGUGCCAGCACG
rnacentral:rRNA from 1 species